rnacentral:lncRNA from 1 species
AAAAUGGGAAACAAGUGGGUUUUUGGUUCAGAGUCGAUAUUACAUAUUGUGUUUGUUUCUUUUAUUUGCCCGGUUUUUCUUUUUUUUCUAUUUUUCUACCGACUGCCCUUUUUCGUGCUUCUUUUUGAAUCUUCGAGUUAUAAUUUUUUCUCUUUUUAUUUUAUUUUUCUUUCUCUCGAUUCAUUUUUUCUUUUUGUUCUCGCACUUUCUUGGGCUUUGGGAGCUUUUGGGGAUUUUACCCCAAACUUAGCUUUUCAACAUAGUUUGAAUGCAUUAACAUGACUCUGAACAUAGUAAGGAAGUGUUUUGG